rnacentral:rRNA from 1 species
GACGAACGCUGGCGGAGUGCUUAACACAUGCAAGUCGAACGAUGAACCCGGAGCUUGCUCCGGUGGAUUAGUGGCGAACGGGUGAGUAACACGUGAGUAACCUGCCCUUGACUCUGGGAUAACUGCGGGAAACUGUAGCUAAUACCGGAUACGACCCUCGGCGGCAUCGCCAGGGGGUGGAAAGAAUUUCGGUCAAGGAUGGACUCGCGGCCUAUCAGCUAGUUGGUGAGGUAACGGCUCACCAAGGCGACGACGGGUAGCCGACCUGAGAGGGUGAUCGGCCACACUGGGACUGAGACACGGCCCAGACUCCUACGGGAGGCAGCAGUAGGGAAUCUUCCGCAAUGGACGAAAGUCUGAUGCAGCAACGCCGCGUGAGGGAUGACGGCCUUCGGGUUGUAAACCUCUUUUAGCAGGGAAGAAGCGAAAGUGACGGUACCUGCAGAAAAAGCACCGGCUAACUACGUGCCAGCCGCCGCCGUAA